rnacentral:rRNA from 1 species
GACGAGCGGCGGACGGGUGAGUAAUACUUAGGAAUCUACCUAGUAGUGGGGGAUAGCUCGGGGAAACUCGAAUUAAUACCGCAUACGACCUACGGGAGAAAGGGGGCAACUUGUUGCUCUCGCUAUUAGAUGAGCCUAAGUCGGAUUAGCUAGAUGGUGGGGUAAAGGCCUACCAUGGCGACGAUCUGUAGCUGGUCUGAGAGGAUGAUCAGCCACACCGGGACUGAGACACGGCCCGGACUCCUACGGGAGGCAGCAGUGGGGAAUAUUGGACAAUGGGGGAAACCCUGAUCCAGCCAUGCCGCGUGUGUGAAGAAGGCCUUUUGGUUGUAAAGCACUUUAAGCAGUGAAGAAGACUCUUCGGUUAAUACCCGGAGACGAUGACAUUAGCUGCAGAAUAAGCACCGGCUAACUCUGUGCCAGCAGCCGCGGUAAUACAGAGGGUGCAAGCGUUAAUCGGAAUUACUGGGCGUAAAGCGAGCGUAGGUGGCUUGAUAAGUCAGAUGUGAAAUCCCCGGGCUUAACCUGGGAACUGCAUCUGAUACUGUCAGGCUAGAGUAGGUGAGAGGAAGGUAGAAUUCCAGGUGUAGCGGUGAAAUGCGUAGAGAUCUGGAGGAAUACCGAUGGCGAAGGCAGCCUUCUGGCAUCAUACUGACACUGAGGCUCGAAAGCGUGGGUAGCAAACAGGAUUAGAUACCCUGGUAGUCCACGCCGUAAACGAUGUCUACUAGUCGUUGGGUCCCUUGAGGACUUAGUGACGCAGCUAACGCAAUAAGUAGACCGCCUGGGGAGUACGGCCGCAAGGUUAAAACUCAAAUGAAUUGACGGGGGCCCGCACAAGCGGUGGAGCAUGUGGUUUAAUUCGAUGCAACGCGAAGAACCUUACCUGGUCUUGACAUAUCUAGAAUCCUGCAGAGAUGCGGGAGUGCCUUCGGGAAUUAGAAUACAGGUGCUGCAUGGCUGUCGUCAGCUCGUGUCGUGAGAUGUUGGGUUAAGUCCCGCAACGAGCGCAACCCUUGUCCUUAGUUACCAGCGGGUUAAGCCGGGAACUCUAAGGAUACUGCCAGUGACAAACUGGAGGAAGGCGGGGACGACGUCAAGUCAUCAUGGCCCUUACGACCAGGGCUACACACGUGCUACAAUGGUAGGUACAGAGGGCAGCUACACAGCGAUGUGAUGCGAAUCUCAAAAAGCCUAUCGUAGUCCAGAUUGGAGUCUGCAACUCGACUCCAUGAAGUAGGAAUCGCUAGUAAUCGCGGAUCAGAAUGCCGCGGUGAAUACGUUCCCGGGCCUUGUACACACCGCCCGUCACACCAUGGGAGUUGAUUGCACCAGAAGUGGUUAG